GCGAGUCUCUCUCUCCCCCCUUUCUCUCUCUUGAAAGUGAAAUUGAAUGGCAGAAAACGGAUCAGAACAACAAAAACAAUGACCAAACGCCUCUCCCUCGCGCCGCCCUAAUUCCCUUUUCCCCCGCGAGCAACGACCAACACGGCAACACAGCAGGUCAGCAACUCCAUUGACGUGAACCACCAGCCACGAGUUUUCUUGGAUUCCGAUUUGUUUUUGAAAACAAUUGUUUUCAAUUUUUGCUACAAUGGAGGUAUGUUCUUAUGGGUUUUCUAUAGAUUAUUCAGAUCUACUAACAAACUAUAUUCGUUUGAAGGAACAGAUCAACAUUGAUGAAUAGCCUUCAUCGAUCCAGAUUACCGGUGACUCAAAUCUCAGGUUCACAGAGGUUUGUCCAGGUACAGCACCUUCUACAUUUGAUUCUCUCCCUCCUCUCAAGUGAAGUGUCAACUUGUUUGUGCUAUCACCUCAAAGGCCAAUUUUCUCAAACAGCUUGCACACAAUGAUGGUUAGUUCAUGCAUGUAGGCAACUUAACAGCUUAGGGAAAAGUAGUUUAUGCAUUUUUUAUCAAGUUGCCAAGUUAUAAUGAUAUUAUUUGGAACUUUUACAGUUUUUAUGUAUAUUCUCAUCUCCCUCCUUAUUGACCCUUUUAAUUUUUUGAAACAAAUAUAUUCCAUCACUUCUCCUGAACAAAGUUGGAGCCAUGUCACAUUUUAGUUGUGUCACAUUUUAAAGUGUGUUAUGACAUUUUCACUUAAUAGUUACAUUAAUAUGAAUAAGAACUAAAAUGUGCAAGAGGAUACUCUGCAGGAGAUUAUUAAAGAUCAGGUUGUUAACAUGUAUCUGUGGCCUAAAACUCUGGAAGUGCAAAUUUUGGACCCAUCAAAGUAUGUUUAUGAUUUUUUGUAUUUUUCAACUGCGUUUUAUGGCUUAGUUUUGGGAUGUGCAGAGCCAUGAAGAUCCUUAGAGCAAAACAACUGAGAAAGAAAGAUCUACUUGGGGCUUUUGAUCCCUAUGUGAAAAUUAAACUCAGAGUCUAAGCUCCCAUCAAAAAAGAUUUCAAUGAAACAUAAGAAUUUAAACCCAAAAUGGAAUGAGGAAUUUAGCAUGGUUGUUAAAGACCCAGAAACUCAGUACUGGAGAUCAAUGUUUAUGAUUGGGAGCAAGUAAUUUUAAUACUUUGUGGUUAUGGAUUUCACUCAUUCAUUCCAUGUAUCUCAAUAUGUUUAUUCUUCUUGUCAGGUUGGGAAACAUGAAAAGAUGGCCAUAAAUGUGAUGCUUUAUGCAUUUAGGAAGGACUUGUGUUCUUGAACCGUUCAAAUGAGAGCAGGCUUUUAAGAGAAUUACAGAAUUUGUAUGCUUAAAGAAUCAAAAGAGACUUGGUUGAAUUGAUUUUGAAGAUAAGUGGACAGACAUAUGGGAAGUAUAAAUGGAAGACAUAUAUAGGGGUCUAAAUGCUUGGGAAUCUCUGCAUUUUUCUUUAGAUUUUCAACUCAAAAAGUCUGUCUCUGCAUAUUUUUUUUUAGAGUUAAUUCCAUUUUUAGUCUUAAAUUUAUAAGUGUCAUUUUACUUUUAGUCUUUUUUUUUUUCAAAACAUCCACUUUUGAUCUUAGUAUUAUUGUGACAUGACCAUUUUUGGUCCUUUAUCAACAAAACAGUUUAAAUUUCGUAUAAUACAAUAGCACUUCAGUCUUAAUUUUGAUUUUGUUUAAAAAAAAAAAACAUAAAAAAUAUAGCGGGUCAACCUACUUUGUAUAAAAAGGAUCAAAAUGUCAUUGUAUUUAACAGCAUUUUAAUGGUUUUCUUGACGAAGGAUCAAAAAUGGUUAUGUCACAAUAAUACUAGGAUUAAAAGUGAAUGUUUUAAAAAAAAAAGACUAAAAGUAGAAUUAACACUUAUAAAUCUAGGACAAAAAUAUAAUUAACUCAUUUUUUUACAUUCCCCAUGCAUUGAGCUUUGUGCAGCAUUAAUGGCUUAUAUAUACAGAGUAUUAAACAAUAAAGGACAACGGCAGCUGGAUUUUCUUGUGCAGCAUUAAUUGCUUAUAUAUACAGAGUAUUAAACAAUAAAGGACAACGGCAGCUGGAUUUUCUUCCAAA